UACGGAGGGUGCGAGCGUUGUUCGGAAUCACUGGGCGUAAAGCGCGUGUAGGCGGCCAUCUAAGUCUGGUGUGAAAGCCCUGGGCUCACCCCAGGAAGUGCAUUGGAUACUGGAUGGCUGGAGUACCGGAGAGGAGGGUGGAAUUCCUGGUGUAGCGGUGAAAUGCGUAGAUAUCAGGAGGAACACCGGUGGCGAAGGCGUCCCUCUGGCCGGAUACUGACGCUGAGACGCGAAAGCGUGGGGAGCAAACAGG
rnacentral:rRNA from 1 species